GCCUGGGUGGCUCAGUUGGUUAAGCGUUAGACUUCAGCUCAGGUCAUAUCUCAUUUGUGGGUUCAAACCCCGCAUCAGGCU
rnacentral:tRNA from 1 species